GGUCUAUGGAUAUACCUGUUACCUUUAAAGAUGGACGCCCCUCCAGAGAGGAGAGCCCAGAGCAGCAGCAGAGAACAGAUUCCCCUGGACCCAGCUGUGUCUCCAUAAAGAGUGACCACUCUAUGGAUAUACCAUUGGUGUUUAAAGAUGGACGUCCCUCCAGAGAGGAGAGACACCAGACGACGUCAAAGGUUACCAGUGCUCAGUCUCUGCCACAUCAAACAGAGCUGAUCAAGGUGUGUUAAUGUCCACCGAGACGUUUGAGUUCAGCUCUCCAUGAACAUUAGAAAGCAUCUCUUGUCCAGCAGGACGUGAAUCCAGGACAGAUGCUUCUGAUGUCC